CCUGAAAUGAGGGCAUAUAGUUAAGAGAAUCAGACAAAAAUAGGAAAAUGUAUUCAGGUCGUUUACUUUGAUGCUGAAAGGGAGAAUGAGAUUUGAUGUUGAUUAGGAUGGGAUUCAUAGUAUAGCUUCUUCACUUUUUAAGUUGUGUGACUUUGUCUAGUUACUUAACCCCACUGAGUCUCUGUACCUACUUAGUCUCUAUACAGUUGAAGUAGAACUAAUACUCAUCUGGUAGGAUUGUGACCCUAAAUCAGAAAAAUCCCAUGUUCUUAACAUAGUGCCUGGAACUUUGUUAACUUUGUUAACUCUGAAACAGAGUUAACCCUUCACCACAAAGUUCCUAAAAUCCUAAAAUACCCACUUUUAUUGUUAAGAUAUUUCUGAGUGUUUAAAAUUGGGGUUCUCGAUGGGGCGCCUGGAUGGCUCAGUGGGUUA